GGUCGCUGAGGCAUCAUGAGCUACUUUGCGCUGGCUGCGUGAAGUUAAGCCUCUUUAAAACACUUACGCACUCAGGUACACUCUCGUCGCGUGACUCCGUACGGCCUGCUCAUGGCCAGGAAUUCCUGCAGGGAACUGCGACCCUCACACAGUGCUCCUGGACAUUUCUUCUCAACAUCAAAUGUAGUGAGCAUGAGACCAGAGGCACUCUGACUCCGAACAGCACAUCAUCUGGCUCUUUUCUGCAAGCCCAACAAACCCAG